rnacentral:rRNA from 1 species
CCUACGGGUGGCAGCAGUGAGGAAUAUUGGUCAAUGGACGAGAGUCUGAACCAGCCAAGUAGCGUGAAGGAGGACUGCCCUAUGGGUUGUAAACUUCUUUUAUAAAGGAAUAAAACGAGGCACGUGUGCCUUUUUCCAUGUACUUUAUGAUUAAGGAUCGGCUAACUACGUGCCAGCAGCCGCGGUAAUACGGAGGAUCCGAGCGUUAUCCGGAUUUAUUGGGUGUAAAGGGAGCGUAGAUGGGUUGUUAAGUCAGUCGUGAAAGUUUGCGGCUCAACCGUAAAAUUGCAAUUGAUACUGGCAGGCUUGAGUGCAGGUGAGGUAGGCGGAAUUCGUGGUGUAGCGGUGAAAUGCUUAGAUAUUACGAAGAACCCCGAUUGCGAAGGCAGCUUACUAAACUGUGACUGACAUUGAUGCUCGAAAGUGUGGGUAGCAAACAGGAUUAGAUACCCCAGUAGUC